CACAGAUAUGGAGCCCAUGGAUGUGAAGGACCGAGUGUACUUUGUACCAGUGGUUGUCAAAGUGUAGGGCCCUGGACCAGCCGCAGUAGCAUCACCUGGGAACUUGUAAGAAAUGCACAUUUCAGCCUCUGUUUCAGAUGGACCUAUCAGAAUCUCUGGAGGUUUCCCCAGGAGCACUUCCAUAGGACGUGGCCCACAAGCAAAUGCUAGACUUGGGCUUUGCUUCUCAGGAAUCCAAUUUAAGGGAGGCUGUGAGGAUCUCGAGGACACAGCCAUGGAGAACAUGCUGGUUCCUUGAGCUGCUAAGCACUGAAGUCCCGCCAAUGGUGAGGAGGGUUCAGGGAGAACAUUGCAACUUCACAGUCAAGAUGAUCCUUGGAAACCUUUUAGAAGGGCACCAUCUUGGAGACCCACAAUCAAUAAGACCAGCACGGCUGAGAGUUUUCUCCAGCAUUUGAAUAAAUGGUUGUUUCUUUGGUUGAACCAUAAUGCGGUAAUUGGCUUAAACCGGGAGUCAUGCAUAGUAUCUGGAAACUUCCUCACUUGAAACACCAGCAUCUUGCUCAGCCUGCAUAAUCCUCUCAUCAUGAGAGGCACAUGGGAAAUGAGCCAGCCUGUCUGGAGAAGAAGCAAAUGCAUGUCUUCCAUCUCCCGCUCAGUACUGGGCAUAUUAUCCUCCUGGAGAAGCAGAAAUGCCAGCACCACUUAAAUGGUGUUUCUCUCUUUCUGCCCUGUACCUGCUGGAGGCACAUGCCCAUAUCAUGUAGGGUGUCAGGGCAGAGUGCUCUUAGGAAGAGCUGAGCCGUGAGGACCACCUCCCACACAGAAGAGGGAGGCCCUGGCAGAGUUCUCUGCCAUGUGCUUCUAGGCUUCCUCAACUCGGAAAUUUUAUUAUAGAGUUUUAGAAUGUGAUGAGCUCUUGGAAAUCAUGAAGAUGAAGAAUCAAGGUGGAGGUUAAAUGGCUUGUCCCAGGCCCCAGAGUGGCCCUUUGCUUUUUGGAAUCCAACAGCAAGGACUUGUGGGAAUAUCAUGGGCUUUGACUAGGAGAUGCAGGGCUCAAACGUCAUCUUUGUCACUUAGUGAUUGUAUAAUUCUCUAAAAGUCUCCCUAUUUGUAGAAAGGAGGUAAGGGAACUUUCUUUCCUGGAUUGCAAGAUGAUUAAAAGAGAUGU